rnacentral:rRNA from 1 species
GAGUUUGAUCCUGGCUCAGAACGAACGCUGGCGGCGCGCUUAACACAUGCAAGUCGAACGGGAUGAGGGGCUUGCUCCUUAUCUAGUGGCGCACGGGUGAGUAACGCGUGGAUAAUCUACCCUGGUAUCCGGGAUAACAUUUCGAAAGGGGUGCUAAUACCGGAUAAGCCCACGAAGGCUUAGGACUUUGCGAGAAAAGGAGGCCUCUGAUUUCAAGCUUCCGUACCAGGAUGGGUCCGCGUCCCAUUAGCUUGUUGGCGGGGUAAUGGCCCACCAAGGCUGCGAUGGGUAGCUGGUCUGAGAGGACGAUCAGCCACACUGGAACUGAGACACGGUCCAGACUCCUACGGGAGGCAGCAGUGGGGAAUUUUGCGCAAUGGGGGAAACCCUGACGCAGCGACGCCGCGUGGGUGAUGAAGGCCUUCGGGUCGUAAAGCCCUGUCGGAGGGAAAGAAAUGUACGGGUGCUAAUACCAUCCGCACUUGACGGUACCCUCAAAGGAAGCACCGGCUAACUCCGUGCCAGCAGCCGCGGUAA